rnacentral:lncRNA from 1 species
GGCAGAGCAUUCUUUUGAUUCUUGUAUGUCAUUUUGAGAUUAUGACUUCUAUUUGAUAAUCUUUACCACUAGUAAAGUUAAUUGCAUCCACUAGAAGUCAAUUUCUUGUUGUACCUAGAAUGGCACCUAGGAUCCUUUUUAUGCACAAUAAUGCCCCAGAUAUCAGACAUUCACUUCUUCUUUAACCUUACCUCCUAUCAGUCUCUGCUUCAUUCAUUGCAUUUCAGCCAGGUGGCUUGUCUUUUUCUUAAGCAUAUCAACUCAUCCCUAUCUCAGAGAUUUUAUACAUAUUUAAGCUCUGCCUAGAAUGUUUUCCCAGGAUCUCAGCAAGUCUAGCUCCUUCUAGUGUCUCAGCCCAAAUGCCACCUCUUUAAGUUAUUCCUUUACUGGUGUGUCCUUCACCCAGCCACUCUUCACUUCAUUACUUUCCUUUCUUUUUAUAUCAGUUAUCACUACCUUCAAAUAUUUUGUUCAUGUAUUUACUUGUUUAUUUAUAAAGUAUAAGCUAUUGCUUAGCACAUAUUUCAGUGUUUAGGACAGUACCUCUGUAUUAGUCAGCUUUUUCACUGCUCUAACUAAAAGACCUGAGAAGAACAACUUUAGAGGAGGAGAAGUUUUUUGGGGGGCUCACAGUUUCAGAGGUCUCUAUCCAUAGACAGCUCUCUCUUUCUCAGAGCUCAAGAUGUGGCUAAACAUCAUGUGGCAGAAAAAAGCAGCUCACAUGAUGAUCAGGAAGCAGAGAGACAGAAACUCCACUCACCAGUUAUAAAAUAUAUACUCCAAAGGCAUGACCUAAUGCCCAUCUCCUCCAAUCAUACCCUACUGAUCUUCAGUUACCAGUUAAUGCCAUUAGGUAAUUAAUUCACUCAUUGAGUUAAGACUCUCAUAACCCAACCAUUUAUCCUCUAAAACUUCUUGUACUGUCUCACACAUGAGCUUUUGGGCGACACCUCACAUCCAUACUAUAACAAUGUAUUAUUCAAAUAAAUAAUAAAUCUGCUUUCUUAUUCUUCUAGCCAACAUCCACCUACUGGUGGGUCCCUCAUUGUGUUUCUAUUGUUUUGAGGAUAUGUCCAGGUCACAUUAAUGUCCUAUUCAUGCCCUAUUGUACAGUUUCUCAUAUUUUCUGAAAUGUAUUUCACCAUUAUUCCAGCUCAGUGAGUGAUUCUCAAAGCCAUAAUUUGUCAUCAUCUCAAACUUCUAAUAUCCUCCUCUCUUAGACCACAAUUACCUAUCUUUAUAUCACACUCUUUUCUAAUUCUUUCUGAAUUUUUCCUUGAAGGUCUUAUUGAUUUAUAUAAAACCCUUGAAUCCUUUUUUCUUAUACUUCUGACAAAUCUUCUAAAUUUCAUUUUCUCGCUUAUCUGCUUAUGAUCUAAAUAACUAAUGACUAAGCAUUUCAAUGAACUCUCACAAGCUUUUUAAAAACUCCUUUGUGAAGAAUGAAAUUAUGGCAUUUGCAGGUAAAUGGAUGGAGCUGGAUAAAAUCAUGCUAAGCAAAAUAAGCCAAACCCAAAAAACCAAGGACCGAAUGUUUUCUCUGAUAAGUGGAUGCUGAUACAUAAUGGGAUGGAGGGCUGGCAGGGAAGAAUGAAGGAACUUUGGAUUGUGCAGAGGGGAGCGAGAGGAGGGA